AUAUCUUGUUCACGAAGACUCAUUUCACGCAACUACUGAAAAAGAAAUUUACCCCUUGAUCGAUGUGGUAGCUCUGAAAGAAGUAAUUUAUUCGUUAAAUAUUUUUACUAUUUUAAAUAUGCUAUUACGUGUUUUCUGACAAAUCUUAUUCCAGCAGAAAGACAAAUUUGUGGUUCGAGUCAGAGCUAAAAUAACAGACUAUGAUCAAAAGUUUUUCUACAUGGCAUGCAAUCAAUGCUUUUCUGGUGUCGAUGCAGAGCUAAAUCAUUCAUAUACAUGUGCAAGUUGCAAGGAAGAUGCUCUUACAAAGCCGAGUCAACUCCACAAUGAGCAUGGAGAUGUACAAUGCGGUAUGUAAUAAAAAAUGGUUGCAUGAAAGUAAAUUAGUUGAAGUACAUUUUCUUUUUUUAUGA